rnacentral:rRNA from 1 species
UACGGGGGGGGCAAGCGUUGUUCGGAAUUACUGGGCGUAAAGGGCUCGUAGGCGGCCAACUAAGUCAGACGUGAAAUCCCUCGGCUUAACCGGGGAACUGCAUCUGAUACUGGAUGGCUUGAGAUUGGGAGAGGGAUGCGGAAUUCCAGGUGUAGCGGUGAAAUGCGUAGAUAUCUGGAGGAAUACCGGUGGCGAAGGCGCAUCCUGGACCGGCAUUGACGCUGAGGAGCGAAAGCCAGGGGAGCAAACGGG